AGCGAACGCUGGCGGCAGGCUUAACACAUGCAAGUCGAGCGGGCACUUUCGGGUGUCAGCGGCGGACGGGUGAGUAACGCGUGGGAACGUGCCCUCUGGUUCGAAAUAACUCAGGGAAACUUGAGCUAAUACCGGAUACGCCCUUUUGGGGAAAGGCUUGCUGCCGGAGGAUCGGCCCGCGUCUGAUUAUCUAGUUGGUGAGGUAACGGCUCACCAAGGCGACGAUCAGUAGCUGGUCUGGGAGGAUGAUCAGCCACACUGGGACUGAGACACGGCCCAGACUCCUAAGGGAGGCAGCAGAGGGGAAUAUUGGAAAAUGGGCGAAAGCCUGAUCCAGCCAUGCCGCGUGAGUGAUGAAGGCCUUAAGGUUGUAAAGAUCUUUUAUCCGGGACGAUAAUGACGGUACAGGAGGAAUAAGCCCCGGCUAACUUCGUG
rnacentral:rRNA from 1 species